ACAGUGAAAUGCUGAAUACAACAGGUGUAGUAGACCUUACAGUGAAAUGCUGAAUACAACAGGUGUAGUAGACCUUACAGUGAAAUGCUGAAUACAACAGGUAUAGUAGACCUUACAGUGAAAUGCUGAAUACAACAGGUAUAGUAGACCUUACAGUGAAAUGCUGAAUACAACAGGUGUAGUAGACCUUACAGUGAAAUGCUGAAUACAACAGGUAUAGUAGACCUUACAGUGAAAUGCUGAAUACAACAGGUGUAGUAGACCUUACAGUGAAAUGCUGAAUACAACAGGUGUAGUAGACCUUACAGUGAAAUGCUGAAUACAACAGGUAUAGUAGACCUUACAGUGAAAUGCUGAAUACAACAGGUGUAGUAGACCUUACAGUGAAAUGCUGAAUACAACAGGUGUAGUAGACCUUACAGUGAAAUGCUGAAUACAACAGGUGUAGUAGACCUUACAGUGAAAUGCUGAAUACAACAGGUGUAGUAGACCUUACAGUGAAAUGCUGAAUACAACAGGUAUAGUAGACCUUACAGUGAAAUGCUGAAUACAACAGGUGUAGUAGACCUUACAGUGAAAUGCUGAAUACAACAGGUGUAGUAGACCUUACAGUGAAAUGCUGAAUACAACAGGUAUAGUAGACCUUACAGUGAAAUGCUGAAUACAACAGGUGUAGUAGACCUCACAGUGAAAUGCUGAAUACAACAGGUGUAGUAGACCUUACAGUGAAAUGCUGAAUACAACAGGUGUAGUAGACCUCACAGUGAAAUGCUGAAUACAACAGGUGUAGUAGACCUCACAGUGAAAUGCUGAAUACAACAGGUAUAGUAGACCUCACAGUGAAAUGCUGAAUACAACAGGUGUAGUAGACCUUACAGUGAAAUGCUGAA